GACGAACGCUGGCGGCGUGCCUAAUACAUGCAAGUCGAGCGCUGAAGGUUGGUGCUUGUACCAACUGGAUUAGCAGCGGACGGGUGAGUAACGCGUGGGGAAUCUGCCUUUGAGCGGGGGACAACAUCGGGAAACGAAUGCUAAUACCGCAUAAUACCUUUAAACACAAGUUUCAAGUGUGAAAGAUGCAUUUGCAUCACUCAAAGGUGAUCCCGCGUUGUAUUAGCUAGGUGGUGAGGUAAAGGCCCAACAAGGCGAUGGUACAUAGCCGACCUGGGAGGGUGAACGGCCACAUUGGGACUGGGACAACGGCCAAGACCCUAAGGGGGGGCGCCGUAGGGGAACAUCGGCAAUGGGGGGAAGUCUGGCCGAGGCACGCCGGCGGAGUGAAGAAGGGUCUCGGAUCGGAAAACUCCGUUGGUAGGGAAGGAAGUUGGGGAGAGUGGAAAGCUCAUGAAGUGACGGUACCUACCCAGAAAGCGACGGCUAACUACGUG
rnacentral:rRNA from 1 species